GGAGAGCCAUUUGGGAACCCAAACCCAAAAUGGGUCUCCAACACAAUACCUAUAGCCUCCAACAGAGGACCCAUAUACCUAUAGCCUCCAACAGAGGACCCAUACAGAAGACCCACUUUGGGUAUCAGGAGAGGCAUAACCCAAAUUUGGGUAUCCUCUCUCCUCGAGACCCAUUUGCAGAGAGUGUUGUCUUUUAGGUCUUGUUGUUGGAGAAGACUAAAAAUAGGUAUGGAACCUUUUACCUGUAGCGCUACCCAAAA
rnacentral:lncRNA from 1 species